GUCCACGCUGUAAACGAUGUCGACUUAGGAGGUUGUGCCCUUGAGGCGUUGCGCUUCCGGAGCUAACGCGUUAAGUCGACCGCCUGGGGAGUACGGCCGCAAGGUUAAAACUCAAAUGAAUUGACGGGGGCCCGCACAAGCGGUGGAGCAUGUGGUUUAAUUCGAUGCAACGCGAAGAACCUUACCUACUCUUGACAUCCACAGAAUUCGCUAGAGAUAGCUUAGUGCCUUCGGGAACUGUGAGACAGGUGCUGCAUGGCUGUCGUCAGCUCGUGUUGUGAAAUGUUGGGUUAAGUCCCGCAACGAGCGCAACCCUUAUCCUUUGUUGCCAGCACGUGAUGGUGGGAACUCAAAGGAGACUGCCGGUGAUAAACCGGAGGAAGGUGGGGAUGACGUCAAGUCAUCAUGGCCCUUACGAGUAGGGCUACACACGUGCUACAAUGGCAUAUACAAAGAGAAGCGAACUCGCGAGAGCAAGCGGACCUCAUAAAGUAUGUCGUAGUCCGGAUCGGAGUCUGCAACUCGACUCCGUGAAGUCGGAAUCGCUAGUAAUCGUAGAUCAGAAUGCUACGGUGAAUACGUUCCCGGGCCUUGUACACACCGCCCGUCAGCACCAUGGGAGUGGGUUGCAAAAGAAGUAGUGUAGCUUAACCUUCGGGAGGGCGCUCCU
rnacentral:rRNA from 1 species